rnacentral:sRNA from 1 species
AAAAAAAAAAAACAGGAACCUUAGUUGUUAAAGAAAUCCAAACCCGCUAGAUGUAUCAGAGCGUUGAGAAAGCUUCUCCUAGAGUUAAGAGAAAAGAAAAGAAUGAUAUGAAAAAGAGUUUGAAAGAUUCAUGAGUGCAAAGGGCAGAGUUAAGUUGGGACAGGAGUUGGGAUCACCAUUAGAACUUCAUUGUUAUACUCUGGGUAGAUGGGAUCUUAUCUCUGUAUGCAUAACUUGGGACUUACCUUUAGUAUUCUACUAAAGCUCAAUCAUUCUUGAGGGAUCCCCUGUUACUUAAGCCUAUUCUGUAAGGGACCAUCUUUGUCUCUUGACCUUCACCUUAGCCAAAUGAGUUCAUUGAUGAUGCACUGCUUGAUUCACGUUCCAGAACUAAUGAAUGUUAAAGGGAUUGGUAGAUUUGAAAGCAUGUGUAGGUCGAGUAUAAGAGACGGAUUGAUUGAUAACAAGGCAUGGUUAACGUUUUUGAGUAGAAUUCAAUCAUAUCGCAUCUUAGAACUACCAACUUGGACAAUGAUUUUAUUUGCUCUAUCAUAUGCUUUGGUUCUGAGUCCCCGCCUUCACUCCUCUCCUUCAACUAUGUCUUCUUAUUUGCUUGAGGCCAAGCAAAGACUAAGUUUGGGGGAGUUGAUAUGUCUAUAAUUUGCAUGUUUUCAGUGUCCAUUCAUCAUGGUUUUGAGUCCAGUUUCGUAUCAUUCAUCACUGUUUUAUAUCAUUUCUCAUCAUUCUUGCAUACUUUGCAUGAUUAGGAUAGUUUUGCAUACAUAUUACAUUUCUGAGUUGUUUUCAGGUGAUUUGGAGCUGUUUGCAAGCAAAUUGGAAGAAACGAGCCAGAACCAGAAGACAUACUCGACCCCCAGGUCGAGUGACUUUGGAGCCAUUCUUCCCACAUACUCGACCCCCAGGUCGAGUGACUUUGGAGCCAUUCUUCCCAUCCACUCGACCACCAGGUCGAGUAACCUCAGCUCAGGCCACUCGAUGACAAUACUCGACCCCCUGGUCGAGUAUCACUUCGCCACACCAUCACCAUCACUCGACCAUUCGCUCUACCAAGUUACUCGACCCCCUGGUCGAGUAUCAACACUCACCACCAUAAGCAUCACUCGACCGGACACUCGAUCACGUCUUCACAGUCUACUCAAAUUCGCACUCAACCAGACAAGCUGAGCACAAGGAAGAGAAGAGGAGAAGACAAAGUGUUUGGAAGCGGCCUGGACCUCCAUCGGAUCACGAAGCCCAUCUCGGCCCAUUAUCUCUCUAUGGGCCGAGCGAUUAGGUUAUUGGCCCGUCUACUAUCAUUUUAUUUCGUUUUGUAUAAAUAGAUGUCUUAGGGUUCUGUCCUCAGAUAUCCGGUCGACAUUGAGUUUUUUUGCUUCAGUUUUAUUUUCUGUUUUACUCUACUGCGCCGGUUUUGCUUCUGCAACCUGUAAUUCGAGAUUUUUCCAAGUUAUUCAGAUUCCGCAUUUGAUUUCAUCUGUCAUCUUGUUUCUCUACUCUUUAUCUCUUUACUUAUGCAAUAUUAUCGUUUAUCUGCGUUUAUGUCUUUGAGCAUGUUGUCUGAGUAGUGACUUUGAAUUCUUAGGGAUGGGAUAGAGUAGUUGUGGAAUCCGUAGUCUGUAGAAUGGUUAAGUUUUAGAAUUGAUUAAAUCCCUUUAGGACUAGUUGCGUUUACUGCUUGUUUCUUUCUGAUCAACUGGAAUUCGAUCUCAAGCAUUCGCGCACCCAGAAGGUGUUCGAUGGAAUGCUUGAUCCACUAGUUCCUGAGAUAUGCGUCUCUAUCCCAAGGGAUUGGCCGUUUAGAGCAUUUAUUGACUUUAUCAGUCUGUUUUUAUUGCUUGCAUAGUUAGAUUCCGUUAAUGCGAAUUUGUCUGGGCUAGCUUUGCUUGAGGAUUUCUGUCACGGGAGUGAAUUGAUCUGUUGUUGAACCUGUUGUCUAGGGAUAACUUGAUUGCGCUUGUUAACCAUUCGAAUAGGCUAGGAUACCACUCUACUCGAUUACCCCAUCCUUAGGAAUUUCUCGUCUAUCUUAUUUCUCUGUUUUAUCGUUAUCGCUUGAUCGUUCUCAUUGCCUGUUUCUUAGUUUUUACAAUGACUCGACCAACUUACUCGACCACACCCAGUGUCUGGCAACAGACUGUGCAGUCGAGUAAGAUUGUCUUGUUUCCUGUCUGUUACUCGACCUGUUACUCGACCACAUCCUACUUCUGGCAUCAGCCUGUUGUGGUCGAGUGAUUUUAGUAAUUCUGUUAUUACUUCUGUUUUCUGCAUGUUCGCUUAGGACUGUUAGAAACCCCAAAACUGUUAUUGCUUGGCUUGACUUAGUGACUUCUGAUCACAUUUCAUCUGUUUGCAUCACACUCAUUUGGAUUGACACCUAAAAUACUACAACGACAUGAUUGGUAUUUUAGGAUUAAUUGACCAUAAAAACCUAUUAUCAGCUAUUACAAUGAUGGAGGAAUUUAGACCUUUAGUGGCGAAUUACUGG